ACUCAGAGGAAGAUGGUAUGGUGGCUUCAGAUUCUUUUCUCUCUGGUGAUAUUCAGAGGUGUCCUCUCAGAGGUCCAGCUGGUGGAGUCCGGAGGAGAUGUCAAAAGGCCCGGAGAGUCCCUCCGCCUCUCCUGUCGAACCUCUGGUUUCAACUUUGGAGGCUCUCACAUGAACUGGGUGAGGCAGGCUCCUGGAAAGGGUCUGGAAUGGGUGGCAUAUAUAAGCAGCAGUGGAGGCACCAUAUACUAUGCCGGCUCAGUGCAAGGACGUUUCACCAUCUCCAGGGACAACCCUUCCUACAGGCUGUAUCUGCAAAUGGGCAGCCUGAAGCCUGAAGACACGGCUGUGUAUUACUGUGCAACAGACACAGUGAGAGGAA